rnacentral:rRNA from 1 species
UACGUAGGGUGCAAGCGUUGUCCGGAAUCAUUGGGCGUAAAGAGCGUGUAGGCGGCCCGAUAAGUCCGCUGUGAAAGUCCAGGGCUCAACCCUGGAAUGCCGGUGGAUACUGUCGGGCUCGAAUCCGGAAGAGGUGAGUGGAAUUCCUGGUGUAGCGGUGAAAUACGCAGAUAUCAGGAGGAACACCAAUGGCGAAGGCAGCUCACUGGGACGGUAUUGACGCUGAGACGCGAAAGCGUGGGGAGCAAACAGG